GGUAAGGGGCAAAGGCGAAGACGAGCAGCGUGCUGAUUCGCAUGGAGAACUCCAAGACGAGGGACGUUUGGAGUCUAACCCCUAAGUCCAAGGUCGAUGGAUAUAUGACCUUGAAUCCCAGAGAGGGGAAGUUUAGUCGGAGGACUAUUUCCUUGAGAAGGAGUUAUAAGGUUGGCUACUGGACUCGUGGAACUUUGGUUAAGUCAGGGCGAAGUGGGCGUUGAGGCCGAGUAGCUCCAAUGGAGAGAACCAAGUUAUGGAGGAGUGCCAGUACAAUCUUGCAAUCCGAGGGAUUA
rnacentral:lncRNA from 1 species